UCGAUCAUGGCUCAGGACGAACGCUGGCGGCGUGCUUAACACAUGCAAGUCGAACGAGAAUCUGUGGAACGAGGAUUCGUCCAAGUGAAGCAGAGGACAGUGGCGGACGGGUGAGUAACGCGUGAGGAACCUGCCUUUCAGAGGGGGACAACAGUUGGAAACGACUGCUAAUACCGCAUAACACAUGGGUGUCGCAUGGCACUGAUGUCAAAGAUUUAUCGCUGAAAGA
rnacentral:rRNA from 1 species